CUGGAUUCCUGUGAUGUAACAAAACACAGUGAAAAUUACAAGUAUUUCACUGGAGAAGCAUCAAACUGCAGUUUGGUUUCACUUUCUGCACCUGGUUUGACAAAUUGGGAGAUUUGUAUGGACUUGCUCAAAGCCGGAGCACCAGAAUAACUGAGGGGCUCAGCAGCCUUUCAAACUGGAGCUUCAGCAUCUCUGCCAGCUCUACCCAGACACUGUCCAGCCUGAAAGACUUUUUUCCUGCUGGAAUACCUUUGGAAUUUGCAUUUCUGCUGUAAACCUGGCUACUGCUGACAGCUCCCCAGCUUCCUGAAGCCAUGGUUGCUUCAUAUCCCACCUGGGCAAGACCUUUUUUUCUGGUUUAUUGGUACAUGCAGCCCUGGCACUGGUGACACAGGAUCACCGCAAGGACUGGGACUGAAGCAAUGCUGCGAUUUUUUCACAAAGAAAACAUGUGACAUCCUUGUGACAGACUGAAGCCCGGCAUGAGCUUCAGGGGUGCACAGCCCUAUAUAAUUAAAA
rnacentral:lncRNA from 1 species